rnacentral:lncRNA from 10 species
GCAUACCAGGUACCAGGAGAUGUGUUAAUUUGCUCAAGCAAUGAGACCACAUCUGGUUAAGCAGCUGUAAUUGGAGUCACCACUUGCUUAAGCUUAUGAUAGUUCACUGUUAUUCUCCAAGAUCCAUCUGUUACAGUAGCUAUGCCCAUCUUGCUCACCUUUAUGAAUGAGUGCUGCCACUUGACCCCUGACACUUCGGAGUCCAAUUAUUCCCAUUGUAUUUAAAUUUUACAAGGCAUUGGUCAAGGGUAUAUCU